UGCGCGCACUUGUACACACACGCACACGCGCUAUCAGGAAAUGUGGGAGGUCGAAUAGUCUGCCUGUACACUUAGAAGUAGUUUUCUACACAUGUAUGUACCCUGACCUUUUUCAAAUAAUACCUUCAGUUACGAGCAUGGACCGACUUGCUGUCCAGUAUAAACUCCGUGGAGCUUUACUCAACAGAACUAAUAAUAAUAAUAAUAAUAAUAAUGAUAAGACUCAGCCGCCACAAUCGAAAACGAACGAUUCUGAAAUGAACGAUUCAGAACAGAAAACUGUCGGAGAAAAUAGAGAUACUUCAAAAGCAGGCAGUGACGGCUUACUGAGGCGUGUCUCUGGAGGGAGUCAGUCCAUCAGAGAGAACCUUGAACCUGAACUUGAACACAAAGCUCGUAAAGUGAGCGAACGAUUCUCUGAAAAUCUUCACAUUAUCACAAACGAACCUUCCCUGGCAUUUUUCCGAAUUCAAGAACAUGUCCGCAAGUCUCUUCCACAACUGGUAGAGCAAAAGCAUGAAGUCCAAGAAAUCCAUCAAAAUGUUCAAGGUGCCUGUUUUGAUACAGAAUAUGCUAAAAAUGCUGUAAAUGCUAUGCAGAACAGUAAUGUCCAUUUCCAGAACAUUCAAGAUCUCCUGAAGAAUGCCAUGUUCAUGAAACAGCAAAUAGAAUAUGAAGAAUCUAGAAAGUCUCAGAAACAUCAGUUGCCAAAUUCAAAUACUAUAUAACAUCAUUAGUAAGCUAAUUGUGUUGAUAGUAAUUGAUUAAUUAGCUAGCAGUUGUAGCUGUAUCGCCAUAACUACAAACAAUACAAACCGUCA
rnacentral:misc_RNA from 1 species